AUGAGAUCCACAAGAUUACAUGAACAAUUCAAGGAAAAUAGCACUAGGUGGCUGGAGGUGAGGGACGAGGUGGAUGAAGAGGAGGCCCAAACAGCAAUCACAUCCGUCCAUCCAGUAGGCCCGUGCCCACGGGUCGGUGAAAGAGGCAGGCCGGCGGGCGCUGGCUGGGCCGGCAGGCGCCUUACAGCCGCGGCAUCCCACACAGACGAGCAGAGGAGGCUCGCGUGGGUGACGUGGAGCUGGUCCACGCUGGAUGUGCACGAAACGCACGCGGUCGUGGUCAACGCUCGAGGACGAGAGCGUUCGCCGUCUCCUCGACGAACCGGAGGCGGACGAGGCAGGGGUUGCGGGGAGACUGGCCGGAACUUGGCGACGGCAAGGCAAGCGAAGGCGGCGGCGCCAGGUAGGAUCUGGGCGGAGGCGAGGUCUCUGGUCAGCGGCUCUGGUGGCCGGAGGAAGCGGGUGCGCUCGGGCGCUCAUGCGGAGGAGGGAGAGGUGGUCGGGGACGCGGGGUGCACGGCGGGAACCGGCCGGGGAAGAGAUGAUGCUCGACGUGGAACCGCGGCGGCGCAGCGGGUCCAGGCGGAAGGCGCGGAGCUGAACGGCGGGGGUCCUACAGGUCCUUUCUCCGACUUGCAGAAGAGCGAGCGGCGCCAUGUCCCUCUUCGGCAACGACGGCGGUGGCACUCGGGGCUCCGGCGUACGAGAGGCUCAGGCAGAGGAGGAGCGGAUCCGAGCGUGGGGAGCUCGUUCCCGGCGGCAGAGAAGGAGAUCCAGCCGGUGAGCUCGAACGGUGGCGGUGAGGUUCCUGUGAUCCACGGGAGAGAGAACCAUGAGAGGAGGAGAAGAAACGAGAUGGGAAAAAAAGGCAGGAGAGGGAAGGGCAUGGGACGGCGGAGCACUGGCCUGGCCGAUGAGGGUCGGCAAGGGCAAUGUCGUGCUCGAGGACGAGCUCGGGCGUGGAGCGGAACCAUGGAAGAACGGGGCUUGCGGGAGCUGCAGGGAGCACCUCCUGGACGUUGGAUCUCUAUCCAAGGGUCCAGAUGGAUGGAUCUGGAGGUUCGGUGGUGGCUGGACGGGAACCGGAUCCUCUAA
rnacentral:rRNA from 1 species